GAAAAACAAGAACAGAAAGAGGUUCACUCUUCGCUUUCCCGCAAAAACUGGCCCAAUCUCUGUUGUGAAGGUGAAGAUCGCAGAAUCUCCCGCCGAGACCUUCACAUCUUCGUCUUAGAUGGAACAGGUUCGCGAUUCAUACACUAAUUUAAUUCCUUCCUCAUUUGAAUUAGGUUUAGAUUUCUACGUGUUAUAUACAUUGAGAUUUAUUAUGCCUAAAUUAGGAUUUCUAUAAAUUCAUUAAAUAAAUAUGAAAUCGGUUAUUUCUUUUGGUUCCACUCGUCAAAUUGCUAUAAAUCCUGGGAUUUUCAGGUUGUUUGUAACGUUUUUGUUUUCCGUCCCGAUUGUGAUUGUGAUUCAAAGUUUAUUUGGUUUCGAUAAUCAGAUUUUUUCAGUUUUACUCUGAAAUUUGUGAAACAUAAUUUCAUUAUUGCUACUUAGGGUUGUGUUUGAAUGUACGGAUUUCAUGCACUGGUUAAUUAUAAGUCCAAAUUAGUGGAGGCAUCUUUUAUAUUUCAUGAGAAUGAAGUUGACUUUAAUUGAUUAAUUUAUUAUCUUGUAACAUUGCUUCAGUUUAGGCUUGAGGGGGAUGAGGAGACAUAAGUCACAUAAAAGAUGAUCUAUUAUCUGUUUUACUAUCAUAGGUGCUUUAUUUGAUUCGUUUAUUGACCUUGUGAAAAGAAUCAACUAAUACUAGGCAUAUUGAAGCUGUAUGCGUUGCUUAUCAAAUUUCUUUUUGGGUUUAUGAAUCUGUAUGAUCUAUAUCUAUAUAUAUAUGUAUGAAUUGUGUUUUAAUUAUAUAUACUAAUUAAUACCGUACAUGUAUUGGUCCUCUAGACUGAAUAUUUGGGCAACGUGGAUCAAAUGGAGUCCAAUACUUAGGAAGAGUGAGAGAAUGUAAUUCAUGUCUACGAAAAUAAUGUGGGUUGGACAGCGUUUGAAGAUGUUAAUCUAGAGUGACAUGUGUGAUCAGGAAAUUGCUUCAAUUUCUUAAACUCAG
rnacentral:lncRNA from 1 species